rnacentral:rRNA from 1 species
UACGAAGGGGGCUAGCGUUGUUCGGAUUUACUGGGCGUAAAGCGCACGUAGGCGGACUAUUAAGUCAGGGGUGAAAUCCCGGGGCUCAACCCCGGAACUGCCUUCGAUACUGGUAGUCUUGAGUUCGAGAGAGGUGAGUGGAAUUCCGAGUGUAGAGGUGAAAUUCGUAGAUAUUCGGAGGAACACCAGUGGCGAAGGCGGCUCACUGGCUCGAUACUGACGCUGAGGUGCGAAAGCGUGGGGAGCAAACAGG